AAAGAAGCAAAUUUGUCGAGGGGAAUCGGAAACCUGACUCCAGCGAAGAAAACCCUACCGGGAUGGGAGAAAUUGCCUGGAUUUUCUCCCGUCGUCUCCGCGUAUAUGGCGAGCACCGCCGACCCCGGCUGCAAAUGGGCGCCGGAUGAGCUUUAAACUUCCAGCUUGGUGGCUUCUCGGUGUUCGUCUAGUGGUUUUUAUUUCGCUGGGAGAAUGGGUGUCGGCAUUUCGCAGUUCAAAGAGAAGGCGCGGCGGAGGCGGGAAGAAGGCCCCGAAUACCCGUCGCGGAGAGACCGACGCAGGCCUGUGUCCAGGAAGUAGAGCUGCAAGCGUUUGUCGCAGAAAGACGAAACGAGUCGCGUAGGGUGCCUUUUACAUCGUGGAGUGGGACAAUUGAUCAGUUGUCGCAUCCAGAGGAAUGGGGGGGAAGCGCACGACUACAGAUUUUUGGUCGUAUAAUCCCGUAUCUGCAUUAGUUCAGCCCCGUUUACGGCCCCCGCAUCGGUAUUUGAAGCACUGGAUACACAGUCUCUGGAAGGCGAUGGAUAGAAGCGAAGAUGUCAGAACAACUUUCCUGACUGUGGACCCUGUGGGUGUAACGCAUCAGGAAAGCUGCACUUGUGUGCUGUGUGUUUCUUACGUGCGAACGGCGAUCUCGACCUCCUAGAACUCAUUUUGACACAAGGGCGCAUACGCACACUUCUAUUUUCUUAGCCAUGGGAGCUCUCUCUCUUCAGCGGAUCUGGUUACCUUUCUCUUUGGCGCCGUUUCUUGAACAAUUAGCAGGUCCCGUUGUUAAGAGCGGGAGUAGCACAUACCUGGAAGAAUCAUUGCUUUUGAAGCGUCGGCGGCAGACCGAAUCAAGCCAUCUAUCCUGGUUUUUACCCACGAGGUUUCGUCCUGUACCGUGGUACAGGAGGCUCCGUUAUGGAACGUCCGCCGGAUCUGUGAUAACUUGGACUGGAACAAGGCAGACGGACUGACUGUGCGAUCGCAGACGCUGCGUUCAGCGCCUGGGUUUUCCGCAGCUUUCCGGCUCCGAAGGCGUACCGGGGUUUCCCAGCACUGUGCGCAUGGACGACUGGUUUCUGGGUUUGAUUGAUGCGAAAAGUGAUCGACUUUAUCGUGAAGGGUUCUCAUGAAGACGUUUUCUCAUUGCUUUUUGAGGCUAAGUUUAAAAAAUUCGCUGGAUAAGAGCAUUAUGUCCAAAUCCACAGGGAUGCGAGCUCCAAUCGCCACGGCGUUCGCCACAGAACCGUAUACAAACGUUCCUGCAGGAUUGGACACGUCUCUUGACAUCUGUCUACUCCAUGCGGACUUUCCGUUUUCCCUUUCAACUGGAAGAUCUGGAACUCGCUGAGUGUGCUUGCGAGAAACCGAUUCGAACUCCGAUUGUGCACAAGAUCACCAAGGCAGAGUUACGUGGUCGGGAGUCUCUGCACUGGGAUAAAUCGGAU
rnacentral:lncRNA from 1 species